rnacentral:lncRNA from 1 species
GCCUAAAGGAUGUUACAUUCUAAACUCAUUCAUGAAAAGAACCAGAUGCUCUUUUAAUAUGAGGCUGAAGUUAUGCAUCUCUUUGGAGAUAUACAGUAUGACUGAGCUCCCAGCUGGCAUCAAUUGCCAGUCUUGGAGUAUGUCAUUUUGGACACAGAAUCCUCACAGGAGUCCACUUUUCUUUUAUUGCUUCUAACCAAAAUGUCCCGAGAUACUCUCAAUAAGAAACAGCCAGUAAAAAAGGAGAGGAAAGAACCAUUUAGUAGCUGGGUGGUGGCGGCGCCUGCCUUUAAUCCCAGUACUUGAGGCAGAGGUAGGUGGGAUCUCUGAAUUUGAAGCCAGCAUGGACUACAGAGUGAGUUCCAGGACAGCCAGAGCUACACAGAGAAACCCUGUAUUGUAAAACAACAGAUCAAUCAAACAAACAAACAUCCAGUUGAUUCUCCCGACUCCACCAAGGGUAAGAAAUUAUAGAUGCCAUAAAAUACUUCUUUAAGUUUUUUAGAUUUAUUGUCUGUAUGUUUUGCCUGCAUAUAUAUGUAAUAUGUGCAUAUAUUAUAUGUACUAGGUGCCUGCAGAGGUCAAAAGAAGAUGCCAGAUCUCUUAAACUGGAGUUAUGGAUGGUUGUGAGCCACUACAUGGGUCCUAGGAACUGAAUCUAGUCUUCUACAGUAGUAACAAGUGUUGUUAUUGGCUAAGCAUUCUCUUCAGCCCUCAUAAAUUUCUGAUGUUUUGAAGCAUCAGAAUGACCAGACAACAGAUUGCCUGCCCCCAAGUCGGGGUUUCGGAGAACAGCCCCUCACUGGCUUUUGAGGUCCCCUUUAUGGGGAUGGGUUAGGGUUGGUAGAAAACAGCUGUUGAGAUAAUUGGCUGUCAGCACCUGGGCAGGAGAGUGGGGGACUCAAGCCUCAAGGCUGCCUGUGCCAUAGAUAAGUGCAGGAAUAUGUCACAUGGAAGGGGACUCACCACAGGUGGUCAGGAGUUUAUAGUAAGGCAGUCCUUUCUUCCACACUCUGUCCAACGGUUGCUUAUUUCCUCAGGAAUGUUAACUAUUUGUAUCCCGACUGAGGUUAUGUACGUGUGGAGGCCAGAGUAUAACCUCAGGUGUCAUUUAUAAGGUACUGUGGAGCUUUUUCCUGUGUGUGAGUAUGUGUGUGUGUGUGUGUGUGUGUGUGUGUGUGUGUGUGUGAUGUGUGCAUGGGUGUGCAUGUUUGCAUAGAUAUGGGUAUGUGGGGGGGGGCACACUUGGGUAUGGAUUCAUGUGCAUGUGGAGGCCCAAGGCUGAUGUCAAGAAUUAUCCUUGCUCUCAUUUGUACUUUAUUCACUGAGGCAGGGUCUCUCAGUCAAAGCCAAAACUGGCCAGAAUAGCUAGUUUUAUUGAUUAACUUCCUUUGGGAAUUAUCUGUCUUUACUUCCCUAGGCUGGAAUUACAGAAAGACCACCAUGGCCACCAGAUACUUACAUGAGUUCUGGGUACCUAAAGUCUGGUCCUUACACUAGUACAACAAGUGUCACUCACUCCACUGAGUCACCUCCCCAGUCCCUUUCAUGCCCCACCCCUUCCCCACUUCUUUUCUGUGACAGAAUCUGUCAUUGGCCUGAAACUUACUAAAUAGCCAGGCUGGUUGGACAGUAAUCUUCGAGAACCUGUCUCUUUCUGCCUCUCCAGCACUUAUGUUACCAGCAUACACCACCCCAUCUAGCAGUUUUGUUGUUUUUGCUUUUUUAAAAAAGAUUAUUAAUUUAUCUUACUUCCAUGAGUAUACUGUAGCUAUCUUCAGACACACUGGAAGAGGGCAUCAGAUCUUGAUUACAGAUGGUUAUGAGCCACCAUGUGGUUGCUGGGAAUUGAACUGUUGUUUUUGUUUUGUUUUGUUUAAAGCACCAGUUCUGAGGACAAAAACCAGGCAAGUACUUUGGGAGGAAGAGGCAAGCAUAUCUGUGAAUCAGAAGCCAGCCUGGUCUGGAAAGUGAGUUCCAGGACAGCUGGGGCUGUUACACAGAUAAACCUGGACUUGACAAAAAAAAAAUCAUUCCAUAAUAAAUAUUCUCUGAUUGUGAGUUCUUAGUGAAUGCUUUUCAUAGUUAUCCUAUUCACAGCUUCUCAAAACACUUUUUCCCCCCCUGUUUUUGUUUUUCUAGACGGGAUUUCUUUGUGUAACCCUGGCUGUUCUGGACUCAUUUUGUACACUAGGCAGGACUGGAACUCACAGAGAUCCUCUUGCCUCUACCUCCCCAGGAAUUAAAGGCAUGUGCAUGACACCUGGCUUCAAAUCACUUUUCCUGCUUGUAAAAGGGAAGGUUCUGAGUUUUCUAAGAGGGAUCCCUAUGAAUUGGCAUAGGAUGAGCUCAGUAAUAAUGUGGAUUCAACAUACAUUCCAGGCAUUUCAGAUGCAUGGGAUCAUUGUAUCCUACUCUGAAAGCUACACC